rnacentral:rRNA from 1 species
CUACGGGCCGCUCCAGUGGGGAAUAUUGGACAAUGGGGGAAACCCUGAUCCAGCAAUGCCGCGUGUGUGAAGAAGGCCUGCGGGUUGUAAAGCACUUUCGGUUGGGAGGACUGCUUCUAGCACUAAUAUUGUUGGAAGUUGACGUUACCUUCAGAAGAAGCACCGGCUAACUCCGUGCCAGCAGCCGCGGUAAUACGGAGGAUGCAAGCGUUAAUCGGAAUUACUGGGCGUAAAGCGCGCGUAGGCGGCUAGAUCAGUCGGGUGUGAAAGCCCCGGGCUUAACCUGGGAACUGCAUCCGAUACUGUCUAGCUUGAGUACAGGAGAGGAGAGUGGAAUUCCACAUGUAGCGGUGAAAUGCGUAGAUAUGUGGAGGAACACCAAUGGCGAAGGCAGCUCUCUGGCCUGAUACUGACGCUGAGGUGCGAAAGCGUGGGGAGCAAACAGGACUAGAUACCCUUGUAGUC